rnacentral:snRNA from 1 species
GUGCUUGCUUUAUCAGCACAUAUACUAAAAUUGGGAUGAUACAGAGAAGAUUAGCAUGGCCCCUGUGCAAGGAUGACACGCAAAUUCAUGAAGCGUUCCAUAUAUUU